CCAAUCGAACCCGGAGAUAGCUGGUUCUCCUCGAAAUAGCUUUAGGGCUAGCCUCUGGUUAGUCUGCCGCAGGUAGAGCACUGAAUUUCCUAGGGGGCGUCAAAGCCUACCGAAGAAUAUCAAACUGCGAAUGGCGUGGUGAUGAUUCACAGGAGUCAGACUGCACGAGAUAAGUUGGGUGGUCAAAAGGGAAAGAGCCCAGACCCACUGCUAAGGUCCCAAAGUGCGUGUUAAGUGGAAAAGGAUGUGGGAUUUCAAAGACAGCUAGGAUGUUGGCUCAGAAGCAGCCACGCAUUCAAAGAGUGCGUAAUAGCUCACUAGCCGAGAGGUCCCGCGCCGAAAAUGUCCGGGGCUGAAACACGACACCGAAGCAUGGGAAUCAUACACAAGUAUGGUUGGUAGAGGAGCAUUGAUGACGCGGCGAAGCGGUACCGGCAAGGAGCCGUGGAGUGUCAUGAAGAGAGAAUGCCGGAAUGAGUAGCGAGAUUAAAGUGAGAAUCUUUAAGGCCGAAUAUCCAAGGUUUCCGGGGUAAAGCUGAUCUGCCCCGGGUAAGUCGGGGCCUAAGGCGAGGCGGAGACGCGUAGCCGAUGGACAACAGGUUGAGAUUCCUGUACUGCAAUGGAUCAGAACUGUGGGGACACGGGAGGUAAAGGAAAGCCGGGAAAGGAAAGCCCGGUGAAAGCCGAGGAGGCGUAUGCGAGGCAAAACCCGCAUGCAAGCCAGAGCGGUGAGAGGAGCGAAACAAAAGUAGCGAAGUUCCGGAGCCUGCCGUCAAGAAAAGCCGCUAUAGUGUCCAUUGUACCCGUACCGUAAACCGACACAGGUAGAUGAGGAGAGAAUCCUAAGGCCGGCGGGAGAAGCAUUGUCAAGGAACUCGGCAAAAUGACCCCGUAACUUCGGGAGAAGGGGUGCCACAGCAAUGUGGCCGCAGAGAAUAGGCCCAAGCAACUGUUUAGCAAAAACACAGGUCUAUGCAAAACCGAAAGGUGAAGUAUAUGGGCUGACGCCUGCCCGGUGCUGGAAGGUUAAGGGGAGAUGUCAGGAAACGAAGCAUCGAACUUAAGCCCCAGUAAACGGCGGCCGUAACUAUAACGGUCCUAAGGUAGCGAAAUUCCUUGUC
rnacentral:rRNA from 1 species